GAUUCACUUGUCAUGGAUGCCAUACUCUCAUUAUCUAUACACAAAUCCCUCUUCCUAAUAAAACACACACAUCACACACUAACCAAGAACCAAAACAUGAAGAGUUUGAACUUCACCUCUCCACCGCUCAUUAUUCCCACCACAUCCCAACAAACACCAAGAAACCUCAAACCACAUGCAUCAAAAUCUGGUGGCUUCUCACUCAAAUCAGUGACAAAUAGGUGCCAAACAUGCAAAGGACAAGGUGCGGUAGAAUGUGGAGGCUGCAAGGGAACGGGGAAGAACAAGAAGAACGGAAACAUCUUCGAGAGGUGGAAGUGCUUCGACUGCCAGGGAUUCGGGCUCAAGAGCUGCCCCGCCUGUGGGAAAGGCGGGCUGACGCCGGAGCAACGCGGAGAGAGAUGAAUAUUUCAUAUAAAGCAGACAGUCUUGUUUUUUGUGUGUGAUUUUCCAUUGCAGCAUAUAUGAAUAUGCUUAUAUAUAAAGGGCAUGACAAGUCAAGAGGAUGAAAAUGUUGAUCAACGCUAAGGGCGGUGAUAUGCUGAGUCAGUCGUGAGAUGAUCCCAAGUGACAGCCCCGAUACCAGUAAACUCUGUAAAGUCUAUCAACCUUGGCGAAUAAUAUGAAGAACAUGUGAUCUUAAAGAUGAUAACCAAGAACUGACAUUGGACAGUCAUGAAGGAAAAAAAUAAAAUAGUUAGUUAAUUAAUAGUCGAUUUCUAGUUAGAUUCUCAUGAUGAUUAUAACUAACGUUGUGUAAGUGAAUUCUUAGAAAACUAUUGUACCCUUCGUUUCUAGUGCAGUAUAAACAGGAGAGAAAAUCUCAUUGUAAAGACACGUUCACUUUCAAUCUAGAAUUCCGGCAUUUAAAGUUUCUAAGCAAUAUAUAUCUUUCGCA